rnacentral:rRNA from 1 species
ACAUUCCUACAAAAUAGCGUUAAUUCACCCGAUCCCAUUAGAACUCCGCAGUUAAGUGCACUCAAGUUAGAGUAGUACUGGGAUGGGUGACCGCCUAGGAAUUCCUAGUGUUUACAUGCC